rnacentral:rRNA from 1 species
ACGGGUGAGUAAUGUCUGGGGAUCUGCCCGAUAGAGGGGGAUAACCACUGGAAACGGUGGCUAAUACCGCAUAACGUCGCAAGACCAAAGAGGGGGACCUUCGGGCCUCUCACUAUCGGAUGAACCCAGAUGGGAUUAGCUAGUAGGCGGGGUAAUGGCCCACCUAGGCGACGAUCCCUAGCUGGUCUGAGAGGAUGACCAGCCACACUGGAACUGAGACACGGUCCAGACUCCUACGGGAGGCAGCAGUGGGGAAUAUUGCACAAUGGGCGCAAGCCUGAUGCAGCCAUGCCGCGUGUAUGAAGAAGGCCUUCGGGUUGUAAAGUACUUUCAGCGGGGAGGAAGGCGAUGUGGUUAAUAACCGCAUUGAUUGACGUUACCCGCAGAAGAAGCACCGGCUAAUUCCGUGCCAGCAGCCGCGGUAAUACGGAGGGUGCAAGCGUUAAUCGGAAUUACUGGGCGUAAAGCGCACGCAGGCGGUCUGUUAAGUCAGAUGUGAAAUCCCCGGGCUUAACCUGGGAACUGCAUUUGAAACUGGCAGGCUUGAGUCUCGUAGAGGGGGGUAGAAUUCCAGGUGUAGC